rnacentral:pre_miRNA from 1 species
AGCGGGGUACGGAGGUCUUACUGUGAGCGUCAAGCCAGCUAGGAACUUCAUACCAUGCUCG